rnacentral:snRNA from 1 species
GUCAGCGGACUGCUCGAGCUG